rnacentral:rRNA from 1 species
UACGUAGGGUGCAAGCGUUAAUCGGAAUUACUGGGCGUAAAGGGUGCGCAGGCGGCUUCGCAAGUCAGGCGUGAAAUCCCCGAGCUUAACUUGGGAAUUGCGUUUGAAACUACGAGGCUGGAGUGUGGCAGAGGGAGGUGGAAUUCCACGUGUAGCGGUGAAAUGCGUAGAUAUGUGGAGGAACACCGAUGGCGAAGGCAGCCUCCUGGGCCAACACUGACGCUCAUGCACGAAAGCGUGGGGAGCAAACAGG